rnacentral:lncRNA from 1 species
AUCAAUUAGUUGCAGCAAGGUCGGCGGAUCUUCAACUCAUCAAUAGUGUAUACCGAGCUUAGAGCUGUCUGAAAGAGUAUCUUUUAUGCAAGAUACAUACUGGGCGCGAACCACAUCAUUUUUGAAGGUAUUUCGGCUACGAUGAUUGAGUGGAUCCGGAGUCGGAGACGUAUAGCUGAGCAUUGGCCGCUCAUCUAUAAGAUUCAUAGAUUGCUGAAGAGUGCCACUCCC